GAACAGUUGGCUGUAGACAUCCGUGGUAAACGCACCGCGCUGAGCUCUCCAAAUCACAGAAUGUAGGAGUCUGUACUGACAACAAACAUAUUAUAUGGAUGUGGUAUUUUCUACGAUCUGGACGUAUGCGCUUCCGGUCGCGUGGGGCUGCGUGGCUGCGUGCGCCUCUCUGCAGACCACGUGUUCCGCUUCGGGGUCAAAACAAACUUUAGGCUGGAGAUUGGAGUUGUGGACGUCUUUACCUGCGAAAAGCCUAAACUUCACCAGUACGUGUUUAAAAAGGUCUGGAGAUGACAACUCCAGGGAUUCGUGUUGCCAACCCAGGAGCUCCCCUGAAUCGCCAGCGUGCCGUACUCCUGGCCACCAAGGAGUCUGGCCUUUAUAGGGACAAAAAGCUGUGGUUUCCUGUGUCCCAUCCACAGCUGUUGUACCAGGCCACUGCCCUCGAGUGUGCAGAGAAGCUCCUCAGAGCCGACGGCGUCUCUUCACCAACGCGACAGCAGCGUCUGGGGAAGCUGGUGUUGCCAUUCGGCCAGAAUCAGAAUGCCCCCUUCCACUGGCUCGUUGAAAACGAUGUUGGCUACAUGAAGUGCAUCGUUGACGAGCACAGAUUGGAAACGUCUAACCCGCACAAGAAAGGAGACGCCGUGAACCAGUGGGUGAAAGACUUUCUGACCGAGUACACAGAGAGCUUCCCUCAAGUGUCCAACACGCUGGAGGCCAACGUCGACCGCUGCAUCCACGGUCAGACGGGGUUUGAGCAUCUCACUUUUGAGGAGAUGUGGGACCUCUAUAGCAACUUCUCCAUCCAGAAACGGGAACCGGAGCGUUUCACUCAGGAGCAGAAGGAGACGAUCCAGAGAGCUCACACGUCUGUGACGAGAUGGCUGAACACUCCGGUGACUCGUUCCACAAGUGUGCAGAUGAGGAGGUUCAGGAAGUAUGUCCAUGACAGGAAACAACAGGAAGAAUCAAGCUCCUCCCAGAGAGACUCUCUGUCGUCGCUGGAUAAUGAUGAUGAGGAUGCAGAAAAGGUGGCUGCUUCUGUGGAAGACUCCCUCACCUCAGAGCGCCCAGUAACAGGAGACGCAGAGACCAGGAAGCUGCUGAAGACUUGCUGCUCCUGCUUCUACAGCUGGUGUAGGUCCUCCUGGCCCCUCUGCUCCUGCUGGUCCUCCUGGUCUCGCGUCCGCUGCUGGAUCUUCUGCUGCUGUGUUGGACCCACACAUUGCUGAAUCCAAGCUGCUCUUGCCGUCUGGGAAGAGGCAGCAAAAAAGCAGCACAUUAAAUCCAGACGAGGACACUUUCCAACAGCAGCAAGACGCAGACGUCCCACCCCAGCAUUCUACAUCUUCUGAUGGGGAGCUUGACUGGGUUAAAGUCUGGCAAGAUGAGGGGGGUAUCCCGUGUGCUGACCAGACGUGGCUUAGGGAGGACCAGGAACGAGGCCUCUACACGCCCGCUCGUGUCUACAGGGAUGAAAACGGUUUCCUCAAGAAUCGCCGGGAUAUUAGAUCAGACCCACCGGGCUUCGUUGGAGGAGCUGUCCCUGGACCUCAGCUCUUUUUCCGCAGCAGGGUGUUUGUUUGGAGACCUG